rnacentral:rRNA from 1 species
GAGGCAUGCCUGCCCAGUGACACCAGUUUAACGGCCGCGGUAUUCUGACCGUGCAAAGGUAGCAUAAUCACUUGUUCUCCAAAUAAGGACUUCGUAUGAAUGGCCACACGAGGGUUUUACUGUCUCUUACUUCCAAUCAGUGAAAUUAACCUUCCCGUGAAGAGGCGGGAAUAAAAAAAUAAGACGAGAAGACCCUAUGGAGCUUUAAUUAACUAUUCCAAAAGUUAAACAACUCAACCACAAAGGGAUAAAACAUAACUUAACAUGGACUAGCAAUUUCGGUUGGGGUGACCUCGGAGUACAAAAAACCCUCCGAGUGAUUUUAAUCUAGACAAACCAGUCAAAAUAACCAUAACAUCACUUAUUGAUCCAAAAUUUUGAUCAACGGAACAAGUUACCCUAGGGAUAACAGCGCAAUCCUGUUCUAGAGUUCCUAUCGACAAUAGGGUUUACGACCUCGAUGUUGGAUCAGGACACCCAAAUGGUGCAACCGCUAUUAAA